GACAGAGGGUGCAAACGUUGUUCGGAAUUACUGGGCGUAAAGCGCGUGUAGGCGGCCCUGCAAGUCGGAUGUGAAAUCCCACGGCUCAACCGUGGAAGUGCAUUCGAAACUGCAGGGCUAGAGUCCUGGAGAGGAAGGUGGAAUGCUUGGUGUAGAGGUGAAAUUCGUAGAUAUCAAGCGGAACACCGGUGGCGAAGGCGGCCUUCUGGACAGUGACUGACGCUGAGGUGCGAAAGCGUGGGGAGCAAACAGG
rnacentral:rRNA from 1 species